AGUAUAUACAUUUAAAAUUUGUCUCUAGGGCUAGAAAAACUUUAAGUUUUAUGUUUCCCUAGCCGCAGCGAAGGAAAAAAAAAAAGUCUUAGUCUUCUUAUCAAGAGUUAGUUCGUGGUAUAAUCCUUAUCUAAUUUUUUUUGGUACUAGCGUUUGAGAUUUUAUGGCACCACAAGGAGCUAAUGGCGGAAAAGCAUAUGGAUUGGUUUUGGUGCUUAAUUAGUAGUUGACAUAGGAUUUAUGAUUGGAAAAUUGUAAUAAAAUAUCAUCAAACUCUUUUAGAUGAUUUAAUGAGUAUUUAUUGAUCAUUAAUACUUUACAGAUUAUUGGGUUAAUGUAUAACCAAUGAAACAAUGCUUUGUUUAGAAAAUUAUAUUUGAUUGUACAAUGAAAAUUUCUGAGUCAUGCCAGUUUGACUAUUAAUGAUAAUUAUUCUAUAA